GGACCCAUGGCUCAGUUGGUAGAGCAGCGCCCUUACAAGGCGAAGGUCGGCAGUUCGAGUCUGUCUGGGUCCACCG
rnacentral:tRNA from 1 species